rnacentral:pre_miRNA from 1 species
GGGGGAGGGGGGGGGUCCCUCAGCCCAGAUUGCGAGAUGGCGCAGACCAGGCCAAGGGACCCCACUGGUGCACA